rnacentral:rRNA from 1 species
UACGGGGGGGGCAAGCGUUGUUCGGAAUUACUGGGCGUAAAGGGCGCGUAGGCGGUUGGAUAAGUCAGCUGUGAAAACCACGGGCUUAACUCGUGGCCUGCAGUUGAGACUGUCUGGCUUGAGUGUGGGAGAGGAGAGUGGAAUUCCUGGUGUAGCGGUGAAAUGCGUAGAUAUCAGGAGGAACACCGGUGGCGAAGGCGGCUCUCUGGGCCGAAACUGACGCUGAGGAGUGAAAGCGUGGGGAGCAAACAGG